rnacentral:rRNA from 1 species
AGUGAACGCUGGCGGCGUGCUUAACACACGCAAGUCGAACGAGAACGGAUUAUAGCUUGCUAUAAUUGUCAGCUAAGUGGCGCACGGGUGAGUAAUGUAUAGGUAAUAUGCCUCUUACUAAGGGAUAACAAAUGGAAACGUUUGCUAAUACCUUAUACUCCUUAUUAACAGAAGUUAAUAAGGGAAAGAUUUAUUGGUAAGAGAUUAGCCUGUAUUGUAUCAGUUAGCUUGUUGGUAAGGUAAGAGCUUACCAAGGCGACGAUCAGUAUCUGGUUUGAGAGGACGAUCAGACACACUGGAACUGAGACACGGUCCAGACUCCUACGGGAGGCAGCAGUGGGGAAUUUUCCGCAAUGGGCGAAAGCCUGACGGAGCAAUACCGCGUGAGGGAAGAAUGCCUAUGGGUUGUAAACCUCUUUUUUCAGGGAGGAAUAAAAUGACGUGUACCUGAAGAAUAAGCAUCGGCUAACUCCGUG